AAAAGGAUGAGGUGAACGACACAAGCAAAGAAACUCAAGGACAAAUGUGAGAGAUAAAAGUCAGCUUGAAGAGAUGCAUUGCCUAGUCCUGGACUGUCAAGAUAUGCUACACCAGAGAGGACUGUGCACACAAGCUUUGAGUUGGAAAGUAGGGCAUUAAAGGUGUCGGGACAUCCUCUCACUGGUUAACCUGAAAACUGUAUCCCAUUAACAUUUUAUUUGCCUUGAUAUUUUUAGGACACGCAUGGUUACAACUGCUGCAGACAUACACGGUAAGAGUUAUGUGACGUGAGAUUUCACUCUUGGCUAUGAAACCAUGAUGCAGACUUCUGGGACAUACUCGCAAGCCUACCCUGCCAAAGUUUCAUGUUCUUCAGGACUUACGGAAAGAGAGUAUCACCAAGGUUGCUCAUUGAGCGUUUAAGUGCCCCUGUGGACUAAUGGGGCUGAAGCUCAGGAUACACCCAGUCCCUCUUUUGCAUAUGAAGACACUUGCUUAUAAAGACUCUUCGUGCCAAAACCAGAACCUACUCUGACAGCAUUACCACAAAGACUUAAACAGAAACCCUCAGUCAUGUGACCUGAGGAAAGGACCAGUCACAUGCUCUGCUGCCGUCGGCUGGUCUGUUUUAUUUUAUUUUUUUAUUACCGCAGCAUUUAUCAUGUUCAGAGUUUGCCAAAUGUCAAAUAUACUGUGUGCUAUGACUGAAUUUUUUAUCUAAUUAAUUGUUCAUUCACAUUUGACAUGUGAAAGCAGACAAAAAACCAACACAGUCAAAUUUUUAUUAACAUCUAUGGUCCAUAAACUACUCUUGGAUAACAUGGUGAGCAAAGAGCCCAACCAUUUGCCAACUGUUCACAGCCACAGCAAUGGCAACCCAGACAAAACACCCACCACCGUGACUGUGCGCUCAGUGCUCCUCAACCGGAACUCUCCAGAUAUUGAAAGCAGACUUAAACGGAGACGAAAUCGCACACAGCAGGUACGCUUUAAAGAUUUGGAAGAUGAUGAUGAGUUCAAGGAUAAAAAUGAGAAGGCGAGGAGUAAGAGCCCAACAGAGGUUCCAAACUGGCAGAAAGAGUUGACAAACGGGCCCUCGCUGGUGGGAGCAGUCCGUGGGGACAUGGAAAAGACAAUUGGAGCAGUGACAGCAUUUUUGAAGAGAGCGCCACCGCACCCACUUACCCCUGGGCCUACCAGACGCUGCUGGGUCCCAACGCAUCCAUGUUCGCUCACACUGCCGCUGCCAACUCAGCCAUGCAGGAGUACAGCCAUCCAAACCUCACCCAGUUUGCAGAAGCCUCCCUCGCUCUCUGCCAUGCAGACUCGCAGUCACAGCCUGGGGGGAGCCGGGGAUGACGGAGACUCCUCCGAUGAGCUGACUGCACAGGUCUAUGUUCCACCUCGUAGAUCACAGAAGAGCUCUGUCCAACAUUGUGCCCCUGCUGAGCAAUCAAGGUGCCAGAAAACUGAGGACAAUCAAACUGCCUCUGUGGGUACAUCAACACAACUCCAGCCAUGUUCUGCUGCGCCACAAAAACAGUCUAGAAGGAGAGGUAGGAGGAAAUAUUUAAACAGAGCAGCAAGUGAUCCUGGGAAACCUGAGCCUCCUUCUACUUCUCCAACUAAAACUGUGCACAGAAGCCACCAACAGUCUAACCAACUCAAGAAGCUUCCAUCCAAAGUUGUGGCACACAGAACUUCAGAUAUCGUGCCUCCGCAGCGUUCCCCCACACCCAACACAGUUCAUAAUACGCCAUGUAGUGUCUCUUCCACACAGACUGAAUCAAACAGUGAUUCAAAAAUCCAAACUGUCCCAGAUAACACAACCUCUGAGGUAGAACCUGCAUCUUGUCUAUCUCACACUGCACCACCUCCAUCAACCACAUGUCCCAAAGAAACAUCACAAUGUUGCCCACCACAGGCUGCUGUGGAGAACAUCAAUUUGACCCCCACUGUACCAGAGCCUUUGUGCACUACCACAGCACAAGUCAUAUCCACUGUCACCACACCCUCAACACAUGGGCAAUCAUGCAUGUCUCCUAUUGAGUCUACAGGGCGUUGUUGCACACCUGGUAUUCAGAAUAUGGCAAAUUGUAAGACCCCCCCAGUGCCCGAGUCGCAAUGCAUUCCAGAUUCACAUACAGAUCCCACAAUUCCUGCUCAAUCCAUGCCUUGUUUCCAGAUGUUGGAGGAAACCAUUCCAUGCUCCAACACAGCUGGCUCCAAGGCAGCGUCCUGUUCUCAAGGAGCACCUGCAAUUGCUUCUAUGUUCAGUUCCACACAGCCAUGCCAGAAGACUCCAACACAACCCAUGGCAUGUGGUAACACCUCAAAUCAACCUGUGUACUCUGUGAUAUCUCCAACACAACCUGUAACUCCAAUUCAGUCUGUGCCAAGAUGUAUGAGUCCUAAACAGAAUGAACCAUUGGGUAGGACCCCUACACUUUCUGUACAGACUCCUAUAUCAACCACACACAUGCCAGCACCUGUUCAGCCUUCAUCAUCUUGUAAAAUUCCAGUGCAGUCUAUACCAUACUGUGUCAAAGACAAACCAGCAACCUUUGGCUCUCCCACUCAACCGAUGGCAUCUCAUAAGAUUCCUACACAAACCCUCCCUCACAAUUUGAUGUCAUUUUCUCCCGAGCCGUCCUGUGCCACUACUCCACACCCUGCUUCACACUUUAAGGGCCCCGUUGCAGUUGCGGCACACGCCAUUCCUGCUGCACAAACUGUGGUACACUGCAUUUUGGAUCAACAGAAUGUGGCAACCCAUGUGACUCCUUCCAUGCCAGUUCUGAUUUGUAGCCCUUCCACACAACCUGCGCCAGGUAAACUUUCUGUCCAAGCAUUGCCACACUGCAACGCUAGUAUGCAAAAUGCAGUGUCUUGCAGUAAUCCCUCUCAAAUUGUGACACACUUUAAGACUCCUACUCAAAAAGUAUCACACUCCAAAUCAUUUCCACAAAACAUGUCACCUGUUCUCUGUCCACGCGAGGCAAUGAUGUACGCUAGUAAACCCCAGGAAAUUGUGCUUCCCUCUGCUAAUUUCAGGCAUUCUUUACCUCCUUACGCUUGCCCUCCACUGACUACUCUGCUGUACUCUAACGCUGGGGCGAGCCCCUCCCCUCCUCAGGCCUUCUGCUGCACUCAGGACAGACUAGACAGGAGAGAGUUCAUGCUUCCUCCUCCACCACCUCCUCCUCCUCCGUACACCCCCCGGAAAGAGGGCUCCUCUACUCCUGGACAGCCCCGUAAGCCUCCUGUCCCCAAAGCUGAGAGCAACAAUGCUGAAAAGGACAAAGUGAAAACUGGGAUAGUGAAGCCAAAUGCUGAAGCAGGAACUCACCAUCAGGUGGGUGAAACCCCACCUCCUAUCCCUCCCAAAACUAAGGCAAGAGCUACGGUGAGGCCCACCUGUUUAAGCAGCCGAAGGGCGAUCCUCGGCCCAGAAUCCCAGGCCAGUGCAAACCACUUGCCUCCUGCUGGGGGGACAAACCCCCAGGUGGAGGGCCAAGCGGACACUCUGCGGCAGGUGCAGGAGCUACUGGGGGGGCUUAUGUCUGGGGCUAAGUGUAAGCUGGACCUGGCAAAGGCG
ensembl:lncRNA